rnacentral:lncRNA from 1 species
UGUCUUCUGUGGCUUCAGCGUUGCCUAGUGCAGGCUGCCAUUCAACAAACGCAUUGUCAGCAGUCAACCAAAAGAAACCCAUUGGCCACCAUGCCCUGAGGACUAACCCUGACGCAGAUGCCCUUCCAGAUGCCCUCAAUAGACUGUUUCCAUCGCCCCAGCCUGGGAGGAGAAGCACUGCUGCCUAUGCACUCCAUUUACAGGCUAAAAUCACACUCAGUGUUUCUGUGGGAUCAUUUGAUCUGGACAUUGUCAGAAAAAAUUGCACCAGACAAGUUAAACCUUCAAGAAAGGACUCAGUCAGGACUAUUGCAAUACGGAAGAGAGAAGGAGCUUAACUUUGUUGAAACAAAAGGCUGGAGAGUUUUUAAGUGCAGGGGUGAGAUGCUGAGAAGGAACUGGAGACAUCAGGAAGAGGUUAGGAAAUGCUGUAAAGCUAUCUGUGUUGGCUCAUUGGAAUUUUUCAAAACUGGGAAUCUGCCCUUCUACAAAAACUGAGACACAGAUGUGUCAUCUCCUUCAAUAAUUGCAUUUUAAAAGGAUGGCUCUGAAGUCUUGAGAAAGACAUUCCUGGGUUGCAAAACUAGGAAGAGGCUAGAAGAAAAUUUGGGAGAAGAUUUGCAUCUCAAAGAGGUAGAGAAAGAACUCACAAUUGCAAGUUUCCUAAAAUAAAUCUUCCGUGAAAAAAGGAGGCCUGAUGGAUGGAACUGGAGGUCAUUACGUUAAGUGAAAUAAACCAGGCACAGAAGAAAAAUACCGCAUGUUCUCACUCACAUGUGGGAGCUUAAAACCUGGAUCUCAUGGAGAUA